CCCUCUUCCCUCGCCGCCUCCUGGCCUUCGCACCGACGCGGCCCGGGCUGGAGCCGAGCCGGGGCCGAGCUGCAGGCCGAUCCGGAGCCGGAUCCGUACCCGCAGAGACGUGGAAACAUGGAGGCCUGAGCCGGUGUGCGCCACCUGGGGCUGCGGCGGCGACAGCGACUUCUCCUGACCCCUCUGCCACCCGCCCGUCCGUCCGCCGGUCUGUGGAACUGGAGCUGAUCCCCCCGCCGGCUGAGACAGGCUGUCUUUUGGAAAUGCAGGUUUAAGGACAAACUAUCUGCUUAAGCUAGAAGAUGGGAUCGAAUAGCAGCAGAAUUGGCGAUCUUCCUAAAAAUCAGUACUUGAAAAAGUUAUCAGGCACGGAAUCCAUCUCUGAGAAUGACCCGUUCUGGAAUCAGCUUCUCUCGUUUUCUUUCCCUGCACCAACUAGCAGACAGAGUUUCACUCUUGUUGCCCAGGCUGGAGUACAGUGGUGUGAUCUUGGCUCACCACAACCUCCGCCUCCCGGGAUUAAGUGAUUCUUCUGCUUCAGCCUCCCAAGUAGCUGAGAUUACAGUACUGAGUUGAAACUCUUGGAGGAAG
rnacentral:sRNA from 1 species